UACGGGGGGGGCAAGCGUUGUUCGGAAUUACUGGGCGUAAAGGGCUCGUAGGCGGCCAAUUAAGUCAGACGUGAAAUCCCUCGGCUCAACCGGGGAACUGCGUCUGAUACUGGAUGGCUUGAGUUUGGGAGAGGGAUGCGGAAUUCCAGGUGUAGCGGUGAAAUGCGUAGAUAACUGGAGGAACACCGGUGGCGAAGGCGGCAUCCUGGACCAACACUGACGCUGAGGGAGCGAAAGCCAGGGGAGCAAACAGG
rnacentral:misc_RNA from 1 species